GAUAUUUACAGCCCUGUAUGCAGGUGACUCACUGCUGAAUUGAAUGAGAGCUUCUGUACACAAGUCCCACACCAAUCUGACAAGAAAUACCGCAGCCUGACCCUGUGGCCUAACAUAAGAGGCAAACUGGUAGCCGGGAGAGGUGGCCAAUCCAGGCACAAGGACCACUUUGACAUGCUACGAUCCAAGAGCCCCGCAGCCCCCCCCCCCCCUUUGGACCGAUGAGGCUUAUCCCGGUCCCCGCUGGGGACACC